rnacentral:rRNA from 1 species
GUGGGGAAUUUUGGACAAUGGGCGCAAGCCUGAUCCAGCAAUGCCGCGUGCAGGAAGAAGGCCUUCGGGUUGUAAACUGCUUUUGUACGGAACGAAACGGUCCGGGUUAAUACCCUGGGCUAAUGACGGUACCGUAAGAAUAAGCACCGGCUAACUACGUGCCAGCAGCCGCGGUAAUACGUAGGGUGCAAGCGCUAAUCGGAAUUACUGGGCGUAAAGCGUGCGCAGGCGGUUUUGUAAGACAGGCGUGAAAUCCCCGGGCUCAACCUGGGAAUUGCGCUUGUGACUGCAAGGCUGGAGUGCGGCAGAGGGGGAUGGAAUUCCGCGUGUAGCAGUGAAAUGCGUAGAUAUGCGGAGGAACACCGAUGGCGAAGGCAAUCCCCUGGGCCUGCACUGACGCUCAUGCACGAAAGCGUGGGGAUCAAACAGGAUUAGAUACCCUAGUAGUCC